AUACGUAGGGGGCAAGCGUUGUCCGGAAUUAUUGGGCGUAAAGGGCGCGUAGGCGGCUGUAUAAGUCUGAUGUGAAAGUGCGGAGCUUAACUCCGUAAAGCAUUGGAAACUGUACGGCUUGAGGACAGGAGAGGAAAGUGGAAUUCCACGUGUAGCGGUGAAAUGCGUAGAUAUGUGGAGGAACACCAGUGGCGAAGGCGACUUUCUGGACUGUAACUGACGCUGAGGCGCGAAAGCGUGGGGAGC
rnacentral:rRNA from 1 species